UACUGGAGAGUCCCUUUUAUGGGCGCCGAAGGUGUAAGACUGGCUAAAAUUGAAAUGGCGCAUUAGUCAGUUAAUCUCUCAGGCAAAAGGACAGGAGA
rnacentral:ncRNA from 1 species